rnacentral:rRNA from 1 species
UACGGGGGGGGCAAGCGUUGUUCGGAAUUACUGGGCGUAAAGGGCUCGUAGGUGGCCAACUAAGUCAAUCGUGAAAUCCCUCGGCUUAACCGGGGAACUGCGUCUGAUACUGGAUGGCUUGAGUGUGGGAGAGGGAUGCGGAAUUCCAGGUGUAGCGGUGAAAUGCGUAGAUAUCUGGAGGAACACCGGUGGCGAAGGCGGCAUCCUGGACCAUUACUGACACUGAAAAGCGAAAGCCAGGGGAGCAAACGGG